AUACGGAGGAUGCGAGCGUUAUCCGGAUUUAUUGGGUUUAAAGGGAGCGUAGGUGGGAUAUUAAGUCAGCUGUGAAAGUUUGGGGCUCAACCUUAAAAUUGCAGUUGAUACUGGUUUCCUUGAGUACGGUAUAGGUGGGCGGAAUUCGUGGUGUAGCGGUGAAAUGCUUAGAUAUCACGAAGAACUCCGAUCGCGAAGGCAGCUCACCGGGCCGGAACUGACACUGAUGCUCGAAAGUGCGGGUAUCAAACAGGAUUAGAUACCCUGGUAGUCCGCACAGUAAACGAUGAAUACUUGUUUUCGGCGAUAUAAUGUCGGAGGCAAAGCGAAAGCGAUAAGUAUUCCACCUGGGGAGUACGCCGGCAACGGUGAAACUUAAAGGAAUUGACGGGG
rnacentral:rRNA from 1 species